GCGCAACAACCGUAUCAAACCCUAUAGCGAUGCAUUUUUGCAUAAUGCAUUAAUUAUAAUAGCCAUUGGAUAUUCUUUCUGAAGUCGAUUUAUUCCAUAACCGUAACCCUAGACCCACCAGAGGUCUAGGUUCUUUAUAAUAAUGCAUAUUAUGCACAAAUAAACAUAUUGCCACUUGGAUACUCGCGUAAUGGGUAGAAUAAUGUAGAAUACAACAUUUGUUUUCCUGCCGCCCACCAAACAAACCUGAUUUGGAUUUGAAACUAUACGAAUACAAUAAAAGUGUUAACAUUGAGAUCAUGGGACAAGUUGAUCAUAUUACACCUAUGGGAUAAAUUGCAAUACAAUGUGAUUUAUAUAUAGAUUCAGAGGUAACUAAAUAUAGUUACAUAUAAAAUCAGCUGCAUAAAAAUGAUGCAAUUGUUUAAUAUAAUUACAAUACGAUGGCAAAUACUAUAUAACCAUUCUAUUUUUCUGGAUACGAAUCAUAUUUGAAUCGACAAUCAGUCAACUCAGAAACUCCAAUCCAAUUCAAUCAUGAAGGUCAUCAUUUUCUUCGCUCUCGUCUGCCUUGCCAUUGCUUCAGCAUCAGUCAUUGGACCAUUGGGCGUUGGUAGCAUAGCUGUUUCACCAUUGGGAGUUCCAUUGGCUGGACCCGUUGUUGUCGGAGGACACGGACUUGUUGCACCAGGACUUGUCGGACUCGGUGGACUUAGAGUUAUUGGUUAAUCGAUAUACAAAUAACUACAUAGACAAAAUCCAAAAAAAAUGCACUCUUACAUACUUCACUUCACACCAUUUCCUGUUUUAAUAAAAGAAAAUUGCUUUUGAUGUUUUUAAA